GACGAACGCUGGCGGCGUGCUUAACACAUGCACGUCGAACGUGAUUUUUGUGGAAAUUCUUUCGGGAAUGGAAAUGAAAUGAAAGUGGCGAACGGGUGAGUAACACGUGAGCAACCUACCUUACACAGGGGGAUAGCCGUUGGAAACGACGAUUAAUACCGCAUGAGACCACAGAAUCGCAUGAUAUAGGGGUCAAAGAUUUAUCGGUGUAAGAAGGGCUCGCGUCUGAUUAGCUAGUUGGAAGGGUAAAGGCCUACCAAGGCGACGAUCAGUAGCCGGUCUGAGAGGAUGAACGGCCACAUUGGAACUGAGACACGGUCCAAACUCCUACGGGAGGCAGCAGUGGGGAAUAUUGCACAAUGGGGGGAACCCUGAUGCAGCGACGCCGCGUGAGCGAAGAAGGUUUUCGAAUCGUAAAGCUCUGUCCUAUGAGAAGAUAAUGACGGUAUCAUAGGAGGAAGCCCCGGCUAAAUACGUG
rnacentral:rRNA from 1 species